GUGUCAGCCGCCGCGGUAAGACGAACCGUGCAAACGUUGUUCGGAAUCACUGGGCUUAAAGGGCGCGUAGGCGGCUCGCCAAGUCGGGGGUGAAAUACUUCAGCUUAACUGGAGAAGUGCCUUCGAUACUGGCGGGCUUGAGGGAGGUAGGGGUCUGUGGAACUUCUGGUGGAGCGGUGAAAUGCGUUGAUAUCAGAAGGAACGCCGGUGGCGAAAGCGACGGACUGGACCUCUUCUGACGCUGAGGCGCGAAAGCUAGGGGAGCAAACGGGAUUAGAUACCCGGGUAGUCC
rnacentral:rRNA from 1 species